rnacentral:rRNA from 1 species
GACGUAGGGGGCAAGCGUUGUCCGGAUUUAUUGGGCGUAAAGGGUGCGUAGGGGGUGGGGUAAGUUUGAUGUGAAAUCUCCGAGCUUAACUCGGAAAUGGCAUUGAAUACUACUCUGCUAGAGGGUCGGAGGGGAGACUGGAAUUUUCGGUGUAGCAGUGAAAUGCGUGGAUAUCGAAAGGAACACCAGUGGCGAAAGCGAGUCUCUGGACGACUCCUGACACUGAGGCACGAAGGCUAGGGGAGCAAACAGG